rnacentral:misc_RNA from 1 species
AAGUCGUAACAAGGUUUCCGUAGGUGAACCUGCGGAAGGAUCAUCAAUGAAUUUUCAAAUGAUGGCCUACAUCUUUGAAAUUGUCUAGCGAAAUUUUAUUUGCUUGACUGGAAUUGACGGAUUAUUGUCUAAUUUAGGCGAUAAUUAUAUUUAAAGUCUAAGGUUUUAAAGUAAGGCGGUACUUUAACCAAAAAAAUUUUCAACUUAACCGACCAAAAAACAACUUUCGGCAACGGAUCUCUCGGCUCACC